AGCGAACGCUGGCGGCAGGCCUAACACAUGCAAGUCGAACGAACCUUUCGGGGUUAGUGGCGGACGGGUGAGUAACACGUGGGAACGUGCCUUUAGGUUCGGAAUAACUCAGGGAAACUUGUGCUAAUACCGAAUGUGCCCUUCGGGGGAAAGAUUUAUCGCCUUUAGAGCGGCCCGCGUCUGAUUAGCUAGUUGGUUGAGGUAAUGGCUCACCAAGGCGACGAUCAGUAGCUGGUCUGAGAGGAUAAUCAGCCACAUUGGGACUGAGACACGGCCCAAACUCCUACGGGAGGCAGCAGUGGGGAAUCUUGCGCAAUGGGCGAAAGCCUGACGCAGCCAUGCCGCGUGAAUGAUGAAGGUCUUAGGAUUGUAAAAUUCUUUCACCGGGGACGAUAAUGACGGUACCCGGAGAAGAAGCCCCGGCUAACUUCGUG
rnacentral:rRNA from 1 species